AACGAACGCUGGCGGCAUGCCUAACACAUGCAAGUCGAACGAGAUCCUUCGGGGUCUAGUGGCGCACGGGUGCGUAACGCGUGGGAAUCUGCCCGUAGGUUCGGAAUAACAGUUAGAAAUGACUGCUAAUACCGGAUGAUGACGUUAAGUCCAAAGAUUUAUCGCCUGAGGAUGAGCCCGCGUAGGAUUAGCUAGUUGGUGUGGUACAGGCGCACCAAGGCGACGAUCCUUAGCUGGUCUGAGAGGAUGAUCAGCCACACUGGGACUGAGACACGGCCCAGACUCCUGCGGGAGGCAGCAGUGGGGAAUAUUGGACAAUGGGCGCAAGGCUGAUCCAGCAAGGCCGCGUGAGUGAUGAAGGCCUUAGGGUUGUAAAGCUCUUUUACCCGAGAUGAUAAUGACAGUAUCGGGAGAAUAAGCCCCGGCUAACUCCGUG
rnacentral:rRNA from 1 species